rnacentral:tRNA from 1 species
GGGGUUGUAGCUCAGUGGUAGAGUGCUAGUCUGGUAUGUAAGAGGCACUGGGUUUGAUUCUCAGCACCA